UACGAAGGGUGCAAGCGUUACUCGGAAUUACUGGGCGUAAAGCGUGCGUAGGUGGUUUGUUAAGUCUGAUGUGAAAGCCCUGGGCUCAACCUGGGAAUUGCAUUGGAUACUGGCAGGCUAGAGUGCGGUAGAGGAUGGCGGAAUUCCCGGUGUAGCAGUGAAAUGCGUAGAGAUCGGGAGGAACAUCUGUGGCGAAGGCGGCCAUCUGGACCAGUACUGACGCUCAUGCACGAAAGCGUGGGGAGCAAACAGG
rnacentral:rRNA from 1 species